GUUUUGGUAAAGCAUUCUAAAAACACAAGUAAUUGCUAGCGUAAACAUGAGCAUGGAGAGUGAAGUCCACCGUCCGCUAGCUGAUUAUUCCGCAAACAUCUGGGAAGAUCUCUUAACUCAUUUCUCAAAAUCUGAGCUUGGAAGUACUGAUACGUCAAAAGAAAAGCAUAGGACUCUAAAGGAGGCUGUGAAGGAAUCGUUUAUGGCUUCAAAAGUGAAUCCCAUAGAGAACAUCAAGUUCAUCGACUCUCUAUCUCGCCUUGGUGUCUCCUAUCACUUUGAGAUAGACAUCAUAGAGCAGUUGGGAAAUUCAUUUGAUAGUCUUGAUUUUAAUCGGUUGAUACGGCAUGAUGAGUGCGAUUUGUAUACUGUUGGGUUGCUUUUCCAAGUUUUCAGGCAAUUCGGAUUCAAACUUUCUGCUGAUGUGUUUGAGAAGUUCAAGAGCGAGGAUGGGAAGUUUAAAGAACACUUAGUGGCAGAUACAAGCGGUAUAUUAAGCUUGUAUGAAGCUUCACAAUGGAACACUCAUGGAGAAGAUAUCAUCGACCAAGCUCUUGCUUUUUCAAGCUGUCACUUAAAAGAGAUUUCUUUUCAAUCUAUCCCCCAGCAUCUUGCAGUACGCAUCAAAAAUGCUCUAAAGCAUCCUUACCACAGAGGCAUCUCAAGGAUAGAAACGAGGAAAUAUAUAUCAUACUACGAGGCAGAAGAGAAGCGUGACGCAGUUUUACUUGAGUUUGCAAAGAUAGAUUUCAAUAUGCUCCAAAUAUUGCACCGCACAGAGCUUGCUUGCGUAACAAGGUGGUACGAAGAAAUGGAAAUUAAAUCUAAAGUAACAUACACAAGGCAUAGAGUAGCAGAGGCGUACUUGUGGUCAAUUGGGGCAUAUUUCGAGCCUCAAUAUUCUCAAGCACGAGUUAAAACAGCUGUUGCACUAAUCAUAUUCACAAUGCUUGAUGAUACGUAUGAUGCCUAUGGCACAAUGGAGGAACUUGAGAUUUUCUCAGAUGCAAUAGAAAAGUGGCUUCCCGCUCCGCCUAACAUGAUACCUGAGAGCAUGAAGUACGUGUACCGUAUCAUGGUAGAUUUCUAUGAAAAACUUGAUGAGGAAUUUGAGAACGAAGGAAGGUCAGGUUGUGGCUUUCAUCUUAAGAAAUCAUUGAAGACAACGGCGAAUGGAUAUAUGCAAGAGGCAAAGUGGUUGAAAGAAGAGUACACUGCUACAUUUGACGAGUAUAAAGAGAAUGCGAUAGUGAGUUCCGGUUACUAUCCCUUGAUUGCAAUGACCUUCGCAGGAAUGGGAGAUGUCGCAAAUCUUGAUGCUUUUGAAUGGUUAAGCUCAAACCCUAAAAUUAGGGUAGCUUCAGAGAAAAUCAGUCGAUUCACAGAUGACAUUUCUAGCUACGAGCAACACAUUCACAGACUCAUAUUGACUCUGUAAACCAAAUCGGCAACUCUGCAUCCAUAUGAACGACGAAAGACGGUUGUUUCCUAGCACAACGUGCCAAGCUAUCCGCCCUUAGGUUCUCCGUUCGGGGUACAUGGACGACGUCUGAGUUGAUGAAGCUUCUUCAUAAAAGCUUGAUAUCUUCCAGGAAUAGAGAGGAUUCGCCGGAGAGAUCGUCGCGAGAGAAAGGGGAGAUCGCCGGAAGAAGAGAGAGAUCGCCGGAGGAAGAAGAGAGAAAUGGGGAAGAAGAAGUGUUUCGUGUCUAUAAAACCUAGGGUCCGACGGAAACUAUCCGUCGGAAUUUCCUCGGUAUUUUCAAUUUCAAUUUUCGCAAAAUAUUUGGCGGCUUGUUUGCCCGGUUAAAUGAAAAUAUUCCGAGAAAAUUCCGACGGCCACUUAAAUAUCCGUCGGAAUUUCCUCGGAAUAUUUUCAUUAAUUCGAGGAAAAAGAAUAUCCUGUGCAUGUAUUUCUAUUGGUUUAUAUUGUUCCUCGGAAUUUCUUCGGAAUAUUCCAAGGAAAUUCCGAGGAACACAUGUUUGGGGUUUCAAAACAUCAAAUUUUUUUGCCCUAUAUCAUUUUUUAUACAAAUGCAAUGCAUACCAUUGAAGAAUCUUUGUAUAGAUGAUCAUAAACCAUGAAAUAACAAAAUUUCAAAACGAAUUGUAAGUAUUCCCUUUACCGUUCAUUAAAGUGUAUAAGUGUUUCUCUUAUGUUGUGGGGAUUUCGUUCAUACAAUCGGAAAAGUGUUUAUUAUAGGGUAAGAAACAACUUUUUGACUUCAUAAUCAGUCUAAGACACUUAAUAAGGGUUAUAUAAGUGUUAUUCAAACCGCAAAACGUUGUUUUCGGUUUAAAAACCCUACUUCUUCGGAAAAGCCUCGGAAUAUUCCGAGGAAAUUCCGAGGAAAAACAAGUGUUCCUCGGAAUUU